rnacentral:misc_RNA from 1 species
UACGAAGGGGGCUAGCGUUGUUCGGAAUUACUGGGCGUAAAGCGCACGUAGGCGGACACUUAAGUCAGAGGUGAAAUCCCGGAGCUCAACUUCGGAAUUGCCUUUGAUACUGGGUGUCUCGAGUCCGAGAGAGGUGAGUGGAACUCCGAGUGUAGAGGUGAAAUUCGUAGAUAUUCGGAAGAACACCAGUGGCGAAGGCGGCUCACUGGCUCGGUACUGACGCUGAGGUGCGAAAGCGUGGGGAGCAAACAGG